rnacentral:lncRNA from 1 species
AGGGGGUAGAACUUGCUGAGACGUUGUCUCAGUGGUUAUUGAAUAACCAUUUCAGGACCUGGAUGAGGAGCCUAAGGAGCAUGAAUCUGAUGAGGAGAUCCCUGUUGAGGAACUUGAAGAGGAGUACGUGGAGGAGGACCCUGAGGAUAACCCCGAGUGCGACCCGGAUGAGGAUUGAGAUCCCGUCCUGUCUUGUCAAACCUUGUGUGCAUGUGAAUAGAUGUUAGACCUGAAGUGUUUAUAUGUACAUAAGGAUGUGGUUUUCAGGUUCAGGUUUCUAGUCCUACUUGUAUAUCCCAUUGCUUUAUUGUCUGGAGAUUUUUAUAACUGCUUCCGCAUGUGAUAUUAGAAAGGACAGGGUCAGCGAUAUGUAGUCCUGGGGAUAUCGCAUAAUAAAAUCGACCAAGCCUGAAGGAUGGUCACGUGACGGAGAGUCGGGGCGUGACAUCCCCUUAUUGUGGUAUCAGAGCAAUGGUUAGGUAUUAGAGUGAUAAGGUGCGAUGACCUAUGGGAUAGUAGUAGGAAAGGCCUUUAAAUUCAUGACUAGUGCAUGUCUUUGAUAGCUGAUUGGUAGAAUUGUUUGUCGGGUGUGAAUUGCUUGCUUUUAAUUGUUGGGGAUUCGGAAGGCAGAGUGUUGACUCUGGCCAGCUUGAGCGUAAUAGUGCCACCGCAGGUUGGUACUAGUGUAGCAGCAUUGAUUGAUCUUAAGCCCGAUAAGAUUGAUUUGAUGUAAGUGUUUCUUGGGGUCUGGAUGAGCCAGUAAGAUCAGGAUCAAGUUGUUGUUGUUGCUACCUUUGUUGAGGUCCAACCUGGAAGGAUGAUCAGGGAACAAAUUUCGAUAUUUGAGUCAAGAUUUAGCGCAAGCAGACUUGGAAUUCGAUCAGGGGAAAAGACUGAUGUAGGGGGAAGAAUAUUCUAUUCCACCCAAUAGAGGGGUGGCAUAGUCAGGUCAGUAUUCAGAUUAAUGGAACAUUGUUCUAUGGAAGAUGGUAUGGAUCAGUCUCGUGUAUUCAGAGGACAGGAAAUUGUGGUAAGUGUCNNNNNNNNNNNNNNNNNNNNNNNNNNNNNNNNNNNNNNNNNNNNNNNNNNNNNNNNNNNNNNNNNNNNNNNNNNNNNNNNNNNNNNNNNNNNNNNNNNNNUAAGUGGAUACGAAGUGGUGUCGUGAACCAGAAUUUUGGCAGAACUAUAAUAGUGAUAUCGGGUAUCACCUUGGAGGAACGAAAUGAGUCAUUAAUGUGUUGAGCCGAGAGUCUUCAAUUAUGCAUAGACUGGCUAAAGUAUAGACUUUACUUGAAAAUGGUUCGAAAUUUGGUUUUCAAAAUUGAGGCAGGCUACCUUUUGAAUUUUAUAGCCACCCUCAAGAUUGAACCAAAUGUUCAAGUUAGAAUCGGUGCCUAGUUGACAAGCAAAGAUGUUCAGAAGAUCUUAUAAGAGGAUACUGGCAAGAAAGAAUCUGACUUUAAGAUUUAUGAGAAUGGAAAGUUCAGGUUUCAUGAGUGAUUGAAUACACUUGACAGUGUAGCACUCAGGGAAAUGAUCUUGUCGGAAGUUCACCAUAGUAUUGCAGUUUUGACUAGAUGGUGCAAGUAAAUCAGAAUCGGCAUCAGCUAGAUUAGUAAGCUGAUAUGAUGAUAGAUAUCGCUGAGCAGGUUGCGAGUGUUAGAAGUGUCAGUAAGUGGAAGCUCGGUAAUGCGAACCGGGAGAAUUGUUACCCUCAAUUGAGAGUCCCAAGUGGAAAUGGAAAUAUAUGGCUUACUAAGGAUUCAGGGGAUUACUGAUACCAUUUGAGAAUAGUGGUUGAUCGAUAGAUGGAGUUGGUCCACUUUGGGUACAGUACGAAUAGAUCUUGUUUUAAGUGUGUAACAUCCAGAUUUCGGGCUCUGAUUUUGAUUAGAUAAAUUGGGCAUUUCAUCGACGCGAUUACAGUGUUUUUCUCUGAGUUGGCCACUCAUGAGAUAACUAGACUAGCUGGGUGAGUUAUUAAGGACCUUAAGGCAAAUAGACUUGAGAAUUCGACUAUGAAUCAACUUCUCGACCGUACUCAUCUUUAGAGAUCAUUGCAGCACAGUAUAAAAUCGAUUUGAAAUCAGAGAUAGAUCGGUUCGACUGAGAUGAAUCACCGAUCGUGGGUGACUCCACUAAAUUGGAAAAUUCUCAUCGACUGACACUAAUUUGAUGUUUCUAUCGUUUUCGUGCCCUGUGUUCGUAUUUGAAUCUUUGAGAUUUUCACGACAAUCGAGAGUCACCAAUGGGUCGAGUGGGUUCAUUGUGGCUCGAAGAAAAUCGACCACGGGUCAUUUGUCCUAAAAAGCUCUGAACACUACCCGGUAGCCUAGGUCACACUAAAAGCGUGUCGAAGUGAAAUUAACCACCAAUCUAAGUUCGAUUUCAGAAAUUGAAGAUUUUGUCUUGUCACAGAGUGGGUAUACCGAAGUGUGUGUACAUCAGAUAAUUCGCUGGCAUGGAGUGCCGAGGAUGAAUUAUAUUUCGAAUCUAGAUCAGAGAUUAUAAAUUUGGCAAAGUUUUCAGAAGGUUCUUUCUUAAGCAGUGUAUAGCAGAGGGUUCAGAAUUUCAGUGGUGAAAAGAAAGUGAAGAAAGAUUUCAGGCCAGAGUCAGCUCAAUAAUCAGUGUUUGCAGUUGUUAGACUAGUGUUAGAGUAAAGACUGCUCAGAACUGUCAAAAAUUUUGAAUCGUUGAGGUUUGAAGGUUUAUUAGGGAGUCGAGAAAAAGAGAUCAGAUGUGGAUGACAGAGUAUCUUAUGUGAAAAGCUCAGUUCAGUUGUUGGUUCAGAAAAGAAAACAUAGUUUGUAUACCAAGAUGGUCUCCUUGGUCAAAAAGGUCGGACAGCACCACGAGACCGAAGGAUUAGCAUGGAAUAGUGAGACUCAAUGAAACGACAAUACCCCCACCUUUUGUAUAAGGAUUGGUAAAGGUUUAAAUUUCGAGGACAAAAUUUUUAUAAGAGGGGAAGAGUUCUGACAUCCAGAUUUUCGGGUUCUAAUUUCGACUGGGUAAAUAGGGCUGUUUUUGUUCAGUUGAAGCCAGUGAUUGUGAAAUUGAGGAGUAUGAGGGAUUCUUGGAUAAAGAAAAUAAUCAAUUUGAUAAGUAAGACAUCAAUUGAUUUUAUGAGAGUUGUUUAAGAGAAAUUCAAGAGGGAUAUUGGAUACAAAAAUGCAAGAGGGGAAUCGAGAACUCUAAUAUGAAAUUCUUUUGGGAAUUUACGAGCUUAUUCAAAAGAAAUUGAAAUAAGAAUUUUCCAGUUGAGAAAAUUCUUUUCUUUUGAAUUUAUUCUCAUUUCCCCUUUCCUUAUUUGGCCAAACACCUUUCCCCCUUUCUCUCUCUCUUUCUUUAUUUCUUUUUUCCUUUUUCUCUUUCUCUCCCUCUCUUUUUUCUUUUCCCCUCUUGCGAAUUGGCCCCCUUGCUGCCGAUUCCAACUUUGCUUCCUCCACUUUUCCUUUUACUUUUGACUUUUUCAAACUUAUCUUCUUUCUCUUGUCUUCUUCUCUCUCUCCCUCGGUACUUGCACGAUUCUCUCUCUCUUCCUCUCCCUCUUGGACGUUCGAACCAGCAGAAGCAGGAACGAAGACAGCAGCUUGCCGUCGAACCAGUAGCCGAACCAGAGCUGCCGUCGCUGCACCGUUGCCGCCCGCGAGCUCCACCGCGCACCGCUCGCACUUCGCCUUCCUCACCCCCUCGCUUCCUUGCCGCCCAGCAGCUCCGCCCAGCUCCCAACCACCUCUGUUCGGCUCCGUUUUGGCCAGCACAGGCCACGGUUCGGCCACCUCCGGCCACCAUGCGCCGCCACCUCGACCCAUCGGAGUCCCCUCGCCCUCCGCUGGCCUUGUCCAGCUCGAACCAGCCCCGGAUCCGCCCUCCUUCGUCCCUAACCAGUAGUGCACAGAGAAGAAGAAAAUGGGUAUGGCAACCCCUUCGAGGCCCGUUUUGGCCGCCUUUCCGAGCCCGGAUGCUCGGCCCGCUUUGAGGAAAGUCGAUCCUGGCGUCGAGCCCGUUGUUUUGAGUGAGUUUUACUCAUUAAUGCCUUCUUAGUGCUCUAAUUAUACUUAAAGGUUGAUUAGUGUUAAUUAAGUGUAAUUAGGUUGUUAGAUUAGAAUGGAUUAGCAAUUAUUAGUUAAUUUUUUUUUUUUGGUAACCCAGGGAACCUCCGGUCGCCGCUUCGUGGCGGAAGUAAACCCUGGGGUGGAUAGGCCUCCCACCGCUAGUCCAUCCACAGUUAAGACGUGCGUUUUGCAUUGAAGCAACGCGGCCUGCAAGUUUCGAACUCUUCCCCUCUUGCGAAAAGGGUACCAAGCUCUUAACCAGCAGGGCCACCGCGGGCGGUGGUAAUUAUUAUUAUUAUUAUUAGUUAAUUUCAUUGCAUAUGAGUGAAAUAAUUAGUGUACAUGGAUAGAGAAUUGCUUAUAGUAUUUACUGGAUGCUUUGUGGGAUUUUUCCUGACCCUUAUUGGGUGUUAAUUAAGCAAUUCGAGCCUAAGUGGAAUUUUUAUGAAUUAAAUAUUAAUUUUCGAAAUUAAUUAUUUAAUUAUUUAUUUUUCCGAAAAUUCAGCUAGGAUGGCUAGUGACCAGGAUUUUAUGCUGAUGAUGGUGGUGUGGACCAUUUAUUUAAUUGAGCUUCAUAUUGUGCUAAAUUAGAAUUAUUGCGUUUAUUUAUUUAUUUUUCGGAAUUAAAUUAAUUAUUUAUUUAUUUUCCGAAAAUUCAACUUGGAUGGCCAAUGAUCGGAAUAUCAUGCUGAUGACUGUGGUGAAGUUCGUUUAUUUAAUCGGGCUUUAUUUUGAGCUAAAUUUAAUUUUAAUAUUUAUUAAUUAAUUUUCGGAAUUAAUUAAUUAUUAAAUUAUUUUCCGGAAAUUAAUGCUGAGGUGACCAUCGACAAGAAUUUCGUGCUGAUUGUCAUGGCGCAGUCCGUUUAUUUAUUUGAGCUCUAUGUUGCAUGAAAUUAAAUAAAUUGUGAUAUUUUAGGGAUUUACCCUAAAUUGAUUGAAAUUGAGUGAAAUUGAAUUAUUGAUUGGUAAAUGGCCGAGUAUGGCUAGUUAGCAUUUGUACUGCCUUGUUGAGUUGUAAGUGGAGAAAGUGGUGAGAGCUAACUGAGAAUUUUAUUGGAUGAGACCGAUCGAGUACGAAGUAUAGACAGGUGUGGUUCGGUGAUAAAGUACAUCACUGUGCGAAAACGGCGCCUUAAAGAAUGAUGUAGACUGUCUAUGACUUAUGGUAGGCAUGGUUCGGUGAUUAAGGAUAUCACUGUGCGAAAACGGCGCCUUAAAGAACGCACGUAGACUACCUAUGAGUCAUGACAGGCGUGGUUCGGUGAAGAAAGACAUCACUGUGCGAAAACGGCGCCUUAAAGAACGCACGUAGACUGUCAGUGAUUUGUGACCUAUGACGGCGUGGUUCGGUGAUGAGGAAUAUCACUGUGCGAAAAUGGCGCCUUAAAGAACGCACGUAGACCGUCUGAUACUUAUGUCACCUUGGCGAAAUCGACGCUCGAAAGCAUUGAUGGAGCUUUGUGACUAAGUGUACUAUUGGAGGUUAUGUGGAAUGGAGUGAAUGACCUAGAAAUGAUUCGACUGACUUGUAAUCGACUAGGUCGAUUGAUCGAUGAUUCGAUCUGAGUGUGAUUCAAUGUGAUUGAUCAUUGCCUUGAUUUGAUGUUGCGAAUUGAUUGAUUGAAUGAAAAUGACCGUGAGUGGUCUUUUUGAUGUGUAAUCGAUUGAGUCGAUUAGAUCGAUGCUUCGAUCCGUGAUGUUAUUGCUUAGGUGCCUAUUUGAUUUGUGCUAAUAUGUAGGUGGAAUUUGAGGCAAAGGUAAGUCCUUUGACUCAUGUUGUGCAUAGGCAGCCUUAAGGUGUAUUAGUUUACUAAUCGGGUCUUAGGGGGUAGAACUUGCUGAGACGUUGUCUCAAUGGUUAUUGAAUAACCAUUUCAGGACUUGGAUGAGGAGCCUAAAGAGCAUGAAUCUGAUGAGGAGAUCCCUGUUGAGGAACUUGAAGAGGAGUACGUGGAGGAGGACCCCGAGGAUAACCCCGAGUGCGACUCGGAUGAGGAUUGAGAUCCCGUCUUGUCUUGUCAAACCUUGUGUGCAUGUGAAUAGAUGUUAGACCUGAAGUGUUUAUAUGUACAUAAGGAUGUGGUUUUCAGGUUCAGGUUUCU